rnacentral:tRNA from 1 species
GGGCCUGUAGCAUAGUCUGGAUGCAACAAAUCUGCAUUGAUUUGUGGAUUUGCCUGUAAGGCAAAUAGUGCGGUCGGCUUCGGACCGAUUGACCGGGGUUCGAAUCCUCGCAGGCUCACCA